rnacentral:misc_RNA from 1 species
AGCUAGGUUUGCCUAUUGCUUGGUCUUGAAGAUGGAAGCUAAGUAAUUAGAAUCCUCUUCGAAAUCCAAUGGCGAAGAUCCUUGCUCUCCCAAGUGUAGUAAUAACUUAUUCACUGAAGGAAGCGAGUAAUCUUCCGCCGUAACCUCCAUAUUUUUCUAUGAUUGACCUCGGAUCAGGUAGGGAUACCCGCUGAACUUAA